rnacentral:rRNA from 1 species
UACGUAGGGGGCAAGCGUUGUCCGGAUUUAUUGGGCGUAAAGAGCGUGUAGGCGGCUUGGAAGGUCAGCUGUGAAAACUCGAGGCUCAACCUCGAGACGUCGGUUGAAACCACCUGGCUAGAGUCCGGAAGAGGAGAGUGGAAUUCCCGGUGUAGCGGUGAAAUGCGCAGAUAUCGGGGAAGAACACCCGUGGCGAAGGCGGGUCUCUGGACAGUUCCUGACACUGAGGCACGAAGGCCAGGGGAGCAAAUGGG